rnacentral:rRNA from 1 species
AAUAGAUACCAGGUAGUCCACGCCGUAAACGAUGAGUGCUAAGUGUUGGAGGGUUUCCGCCUUUCAGUGCUGCAGCUAACGCAUUAAGCACUCCGCCUGGGGAGUACGGUCGCAAGACUGAAACUCAAAGGAAUUGACGGGGGCCCGCACAAGCGGUGGAGCAUGUGGUUUAAUUCGAAGCAACGCGAAGAACCUUACCAGGUCUUGACAUCUCCUGACCGUCCUGGAGACAGGGUCUUCCCUUCGGGGACAGGAUGACAGGUGGUGCAUGGUUGUCGUCAGCUCGUGUCGUGAGAUGUUGGGUUAAGUCCCGCAACGAGCGCAACCCUUGGUUCUAGUUGCCAGCAUUCAGUUGGGGCACUCUAGAGCGACUGCCGGCGACAAGUCGGAGGAAGGUGGGGAUGACGUCAAAUCAUCAUGCCCCUUAUGACCUGGGCUACACACGUGCUACAAUGGAUGGUACAAAGGGCAGCGAAGCGGCGACGCAUAAGCGAAUCCCAGAAAACCAUUCUCAGUUCGGU